CGAACGAAGGCUUCGGCCUUAGUGGCGGACGGGUGAGUAACGCGUGGGAAUCUACCUUACGGCGGGGAAUAACAGUUGGAAACGACUGCUAAUACCGCAUACGCCCUUCGGGGGAAAGGCUUCGGCCACCGUUUGAGGAUCCCGCGUCCGAUUAGCUAGUUGGUAGGGUAAAAGCCUACCAAGGCUACGAUCGGUAGCUGGUCUGAGAGGAUGAUCAGCCACACUGGGACUGAGACACGGCCCAGACUCC
rnacentral:rRNA from 1 species